AUUGAACGCUGGCGGCAGGCCUAACACAUGCAAGUCGAACGAGUGGCGGACGGGUGAGUAAUGUCUGGGAAACUGCCUGAUGGAGGGGGAUCACUACUUGAAAAGGUCGCUAAUUCCGCAUACCCUCUGAAGUGCCCAGAUGGUAUUGACUAGUGGGGGGGGUAACGGCUCACCUAGGCGACACUCCCUAGCUGGUCUGAGAGGUUGAACACCCAAACGGGAACUGAGAACCGCUCCAGCCCCUUACGGGAGGCACCCUUGGGUAACAUCGCAAAUGGAGGGCAAGCCUGCUGAAGCCCGGCGGGUUGUAUGAAGAAGCCUUUCGGGUUUAAAACUCCUUUCAGCGGGGCGGCGUUACCCGCAGAAGAAGCACCGGCUAACUCCGUGCCAGCAGCCGCGGUAAUUC
rnacentral:rRNA from 1 species